rnacentral:lncRNA from 1 species
AGUUAAGAGCCAUUAUCAGUCAAACACAACACAAGAAUCAUUGUACUAUAACAAUUUUGCCCACUCCAUUAGCAAGCAUCAUCAGCUUUGCUUGCUUCCUUGCUCCUACCUCACCUUUCACCUGCUCCCCACAUUUAUUAAAUUCGAAUCGAAAGCUCCCCCCUUUUCCAUUGAUGAGAGAGAGAAGCCAAGAACAACCUAAAGCCUAGCAGCAGCAGCAAGAGGAAUUUAAGGCCAUUAGAGAAAGAUAUUGAAUUCUUUACCCACACACGCCGCAUCCUAAUCUCCUGCCGGAAGCAAGCAACCAUGGCAUCGGGCCUCCUCCUCUUUGCCUCUUCUUUAUCUCGCCACUGCUAGCUGUUUGCUCUCUGCACAUUAGCUGUCCACUGGCAACGCCCCGCCAUCCAUGGCGGUCCGCGUGGCCGUGUUCUAGGCGAGAAGCGACCGAGGAAGGCUACAUCUUGAGGGGAGAAUCAAGAACUGAAGUGGAAGGUGGUGGUGCUGGUGGGGGGG